UAUAGCAUUGAGCUUUAGGAUCUGUUCAAAAUUUAUACCAAAAAAAUUAGUGACAAUUACAAAUGAAAACAAAACUUAUAUGUAUGCGAUUGGUGCUGAAACGCAGACAAUAUCUCACAAGAAACAAGGAAGCCUUAAAGACUGGAAACAUUAAACAAGGAUGAAUUUUAAAAUGUUGUCAAACAAGAUCACUCAAUUUAAGGAAGUUGUAUGAACAAGGAAACUACUGAAAGAAGUUGUGUCAAGUGAUAUUUAACAUAACUCUUACAAAAUUUAGACAAUGUGAAUCAAAAGGGGGUACUUUUUUGAUACACCCUGUAUUUUAGAAACUGCAAGGCAUUCAAUCGAUAGCUAGAACAUAC